UACGAAGGGGGCUAGCGUUGGUCGGAAUUACUGGGCGUAAAGCGUGCGCAGGCGGCUUCCCAAGUCAGUGGUGAAAGCCCGGAGCUCAACUCCGGAACUGCCAUUGAAACUGUGAAGCUCGAGGACGAGAGAGGUGAGUGGAAUUCCCAGUGUAGAGGUGAAAUUCGUAGAUAUUGGGAAGAACACCGGUGGCGAAGGCGGCUCACUGGCUCGUUUCUGACGCUCAUGCACGACAGCGUGGGGAUCAAACAG
rnacentral:rRNA from 1 species